rnacentral:rRNA from 1 species
UACGUAGGGUCCGAGCGUUGUCCGGAAUUAUUGGGCGUAAAGAGCUCGUAGGCGGCGUGUCGCGUCUGCUGUGAAAGACCGGGGCUUAACUCCGGUUUUGCAGUGGAUACGGGCAUGCUAGAGGUAGGUAGGGGAGACUGGAAUUCCUGGUGUAGCGGUGAAAUGCGCAGAUAUCAGGAGGAACACCGGUGGCGAAGGCGGGUCUCUGGGCCUUACCUGACGCUGAGGAGCGAAAGCAUGGGGAGCGAAC